GGGUCUAUUUGUUUACUAGGAAAACAUUUUCUGGAAAAUGUUUUACUGGUUUUCCAGUAUUUGUUUGCUUGAAAAUCACUUACAUUGGUAAAACAUUUUCAGAAACACGGGAAAAUGAUAAGGGAUUUGGGGAAUAUGUCUUACUUUUAUUUCUGUAAGAUAUUUUUCAUCUUUCCUCCUCCUUCCGUCCUUCUUCUUCAUCAUCCAAUUGGACCAGUUCCCUUCCUGAAACAAAGCUCAAGACGAAGAAACGGAGAGAUAAGCUGACUUGAAAGAUGAUGGAGCCAGUGCCAAGGUCAUUGGGAAUUAGCGCUAGCUUGGCUCUUCGUUUGGGACAAACCAUUUUCUCCUCUGCUUCACUUCUUUUCAUGUGUUUGGAUGUUGAAUUCUAUAACUAUACUUCUUUCAGGUGAUUCCCAAAAGCUUCAUUUCUUCUAUUUUUUUGGGUAAAAUUUUGAUUUUGGUUUUCUCUUUACCCUUUAAUCUACCCAUGCCCUUAUUUCUGUUAUUUUGUUGGAAUUCAAUUUAUUGUUACUUGAUAGUUGAUUUCUGGUGUUAAAAUGGACGUCUGUGGGAAAACUGUCAUGAUCAUCAUCUUGAUGAAUCUAGUACUAUGUUAGGAGUUAAAUUUUUUAUGAGAGGACUGAUCAAACAUUUCUUUGCUUUUCCAUUUUUAUUGAGGAAGCAAGAUAAAUGCAGUCAAAUGAACUAUAUGCAAUUCUUUUAUGUGAUCUUUUGGGUUCUGGGCUUUGGAAUUAUCAAAUGCUUUCACUUGCUUAAAUAUCAAAAUUCAGUAAGGAUUCUAAUAUAGUUUAUUGUUUCUGAGUUUAAAAAAGGGGUGAAUUGUAUGUUAUUUCUUCUAUUUCAAUGGAAAUUUCUCUAAGUUGAUUCUAAAA